GUAGGAUGGCAUCACCGACUCAAUGGACAUGAGUUUAGGACCAACUCCCGGUUUUAAGUCUCUGAAAUCUCUAAAGCAUGAAAGGAAGAUGCUGUGGUCUCUCUUGGACCAAAGGACAGGGGCCCCGCCGGCCCGGAAGCCCCUUCACCUGGAGGUCCAAGCUGAGCUGCUCCCAGAGCUCGUCGUGCAGGGCAGAGACCUCUGCCUCCAGGCUCUCAUACUCCAGGGUGCUGUUCGCCAGGGCCUGCAGGGGGAGGGCUCACUGAGAAGCCGCAGGAACCCUGGACCUUCACCUUCACCUUGGAGGCUCCUGGGAACAGGAAGUUGUCUUCACCCUGGGGGACUCCCCAGAGACCCAUUGGGGGAGGAGAUGGACUUAUUCUCUGAGGAAGCGAGUCAGCUUGAGAGGGGAGCGGGCUGAGAGCUAAACGUCAAGUUCCUGCUCACCCCUCCUCUUGGGGGUCCCAGUUCACAAGAGGCUGAGGAGAUAGCACGGCCUCGCCUCCCAGGCCUCCAGAGUCUCAGGACGGCUGACGCUGGGGUCCCUCUGAGGUCUGGUCCUGGCCUGCACGGAGCCUGUGCCCUGCCUGCUGGGCAGAUCCGCCACCCACGCAAGGCCAGUGGGAAGAGGCAGGAGAAGCCACACUUGUUUCCUGGGGAGAUGUGUGCUUUCCCGUGUCUAUACCUGUAUUCACGCCACUCCUCAAACACCCCCUUGGCUCCUUUCUAUGGACCAAGAAUCUUGUCCAAUCUAUCUUGUCCCCUAGGUCCUUUACUUCAAGACUGGCUCAUAUGCCACCUCCUUGUGUCCCAGGCCCACCAGCUCGCAUGGCACCCAGCCCUGCCCUCCUGCAGGCCCUGGGACAGGUCUGCUGAGACCCAGGCCUCCCGCUGCCCAGAAGCUUCCUGAGGAGGGUCGGGGCCGUGCUCUUCUUUCUAGGCACCCGGGGCUACUUCCUACCAAAGUCUGUGUGCCUGAAAUAAGCACGGGCCACUGCUAUAGACGAGGGCCUCGCACUCAGCGGAGAAACACGCAGCCAUGAGGCCAGCUUGUAGGUGUGGAGGCUGUCCUGGAACACUUCUGGGUACGGAGGGACCUGCAGGAACACGAGACUGGUUACCACAGCAGAGGGCAGGGCGUGCGGGCACAGGAGAGUGGACGGCCCCGCCCUGAUCCUGCCACCGGCCACAGCCUUCCAGCUCAGGCAGCAUCCACUCCAGAACCCGAGCUGAGUCGGCUCUCUGUCCACUGGAGAGCAGGGGGUGGCCUGGCCGAAGCCCGUCCCAGUGGUUCUGGGUCGGUUCUGGAGGGGCUCCGGCGCCGGGUAGCUCCCAAACAGCUCAUGCGUAACAACCAUGCGAACAACAGUUAAGUCUUGGCUGGUUUUGAGGAUAAGAUCUGGGAGAAGAAAAUGAGCAUCGGAAGCAUCUGAAAACGACUGCCCUGGUAGAUGACGUGCCAGUCCCAGGGACUGGGCCUAAACUGGAGGCAUCUCUUGGUCCGGCAAAGGUGCCUCCCACUGGUGACACAUGCAGCAGCCACAGCCAUUCCGCACAACACUCACUAGAAGGCUCCACAUCACACCCCCAUGCUCUCCACCCCAGCGACUGGCAAGCAGAUACCGAACGCAAGAAAGAAGUCCUGGACACUGGGAUCCCUGGCACGGCACGAGAUGUCAGGGCUGGCUAUGCUGAUGGUUUGGGGAAUGAGCCUGGUUCACCCAUGAACAUGAAGAAUGGAGGCGACCCCGGGAAUGAAAGGAGGAAGGCCAGGCUGAGCCCAGGGCUAAGGCCUGGCAGAGGAGCGGGAUCGACCAUGCAUGAGCGGCGGGAAUGACGCUGACGGGAGCGUGCUGCCAGGCAGAGGCCUUACUUGCAUGAAGAGCUGGGCGCUGGGGGAGGAGCUCUCCACCAUGCGGUUCACCACACUGAUCAGAGCCUCGCUCUCACUCAUCUACGGCAGAGGGAGGAACGGGCGGCUCAGGUGCAGCCCUCGCGGGGUCUUCCCCACGCCCUCUGGGCUCCAGGAGCAGUGGAGGGCGGAUCCUCCUGGGGCCUCCAGCACCCUCUCUGCUCUCGCCCGUCACUCACCCGCUGUGAACUCUGGUUCGGGACCUGCACUGAAGCUGCCCACGAGGAACGGCCAUGGCAGGGAGGCGGGAGGUCGCCAUGGCCUCGCCCGGGCCCAGGGACACCUCCCCGGGCACCUGAGCGUUGCAGGCCUCGCCCCCCGGCCCAGCCCUCGUUUCUCACUCUGGUUUGGUCAAGGACCACACAGGCAGUGAGAAAGGCCGAGCUCCCCAAACGAGAACUAAGGAAACCUUAAAGAAAGUGCAGCCUGCUCUGUGGAUGGGUCAGGCACAGGCCUCUCUCCCCAAGCCCUGCCCACCUCUGCUCUAGAGUAGAGAGGAUUAUAAAAUUCGGUUUCCAGAGCUGGGCUGAUAGCAUCCAUGCUGACCUGGGAUGAUGCCAGGGAGCAAAUAAGGAGGUCAAAGCAAGCAAGCCAUGUCAGAGAGACGCCAGAGACUGGGACACCGCUCCCCAAGCAUGUCAUCUUUACACGUCAGAGAUCUUCAGGAACAUGGAGGGGGAAAGACUAUGUGCCAAAUGAAAG